rnacentral:rRNA from 1 species
UACGGGGGGAGCAAGCGUUGUUCGGAUUUACUGGGCGUAAAGGGCGCGGUAGGCGGUCGUGACAAGUCACUUGUGAAAUCUCCGGGCUUAACUCGGAACGGUCAAGUGAUACUGUCGGACUAGAGUACAGAAGGGGCAACUGGAAUUCUCGGUGUAGCGGUGAAAAUGCGUAGAUAUCGAGAGGAACACCUGCGGCGAAGGCGGGUUGCUGGGCUGAUACUGACGCUGAGGCGCGACAGCGUGGGGAGCAAACAGG